rnacentral:rRNA from 1 species
CAGUCGCCACGGGAAUACGGAGGGUGCAAGCGUUAAUCGGAAUUACUGGGCGUAAAGCGCACGCAGGCGGUUUGUUAAGUCAGAUGUGAAAUCCCCGGGCUCAACCUGGGAACUGCAUUUGAAACUGGCAAGCUAGAGUCUCGUAGAGGGGGGUAGAAUUCCAGGUGUAGCGGUGAAAUGCGUAGAGAUCUGGAGGAAUACCGGUGGCGAAGGCGGCCCCCUGGACAAAGACUGACGCUCAGGUGCGAAAGCGUGGGGAGCAAACAGGAUUAGAUACCCCUGUAGUCCCUGUCUCUUAUAC